UCAAGAAUAUGGCAGAGUUACCAAGUGAGCGCCUUGGUCAUAGCUCUGGGUUGCAUGACCCUCCAGGAAGCCCCGAGCCUGGGUGAGACUGGGCAGCUGAGCACCGCUGGUGCCCCCAGGGCUGGUGCGAGGCGCAAUGGGGCGGCGGCGACAGCAAGGACAUCACAGCGGCUUGGUUCGUGGGGGAGGGGGAGGGGGUGAGGACCAGGCUGGGCUCCUUCCCUCAGCCAGCUCUGGCAGAAGGGUCCAGAGCAGCUUCGCAAAUUCCCCACUGCAUCUCAGUGGAGGACGAAAGGCGUGGAAGGGGGAGGGGCCAUCAUGCGAAAAUGCCCCCUUCGAGUUUGGUUUAUCACUUUUUAAAGAUUUGAAACCACCGUCUCCCGUCCCUCCAAUGGGAGCUUUCUAGUCCCCUCUUCCAGAGGGUGAAGACUUCACCUUUUAGCCGCUGGUCUAACAUCGGAAGCCCGGCGCUGGGAGAGAAAGGAAAGCGGUAAAAGUUUCACGAUUAAUCACCGGAGGAGAUCCUCACGAGAAUCCUACCAAACUGCUCCCGCAAAGACGCGGCCCCUUGACAUGCAUCUUUCUCGGAAAAACAUACUCCAAACCGUCCAAAAGCAAACACGGAUCACCCCACCCCAAUACACACUAACGCGCGCGCGCUGCUCGUCAAACUCAGAGGAGAGAGGAGUUGGUGGAAAAACAGCAGGAAGAACCCUAAUUUGUAAAAAUGCGAAUAGAUGAAUGUGAAAUCACAGUUAAAAAAAACGAGGCAGCGCCAUGAGGUGGGGUGGGGUGGGGUGGCGGGGGCUGAGGCUGGCAGCGUUGGGCAGUCCCUCCUCCCCCUGACAGUACAGCACCUCCUUCCACCUCUGCCCAGAAGCUCCGGGAUCACACACUGACUCCCAGGCCUCUGCUGACCCCCGCUUGUGCUGACCACCGCGGUGCGAGCUGGACCUCCGCGGUGCAGCCCCAGCGGUCAGGCAGGCCUGCGAGAGGAGCUAUGAGCUUGGAAAAGGAAAAGCAGUGCUCAUGGAUGCUGCUGAUCCGGGCAAGACUGAAGUCCACCACAGCAGGGACAGCAUGGUGGCUCCAGUAGUGGAGCCCAGCUUGCUCGCUCCUUUCCCCCUUUACACAGUUCAGAAACCAGCACUCAGAGCGGUGCCCCUCCCAUUCAGGGUCUGCUGAAAUUUAAUCAUUAAUAGUAAUUAUUGAAGCUUUCUUAGCCUAUGUGAUCUCAUCUGUAAAUCAUCAACAAUGAAUCACAGAACUAUAUGAUUACACAGCACAUGGCUUGGAAUUCAUAACUAUACACACAUGGAUCAAGAGUGCUUAGAAGGAAAUUCUACUCUUCUGGAAUACUGAAUGCAAAAUUAAAGUCUGCCACUGCAAGCAGAACUGGAAGAAAUGAAAUGGAAUAUGAAGUAUGGCCUUUCAAAGCAUUAUUAACAGCUAAUGUGUGCAUUUUGCCUGAAGAAUAAAAUAAUGUCAUUGAUGUAUCUUGAA